GACGAACGCUGGCGGCGUGCUUAACACAUGCAAGUCGAACGGAAAGGCCCCUUCGGGGGUACUCGAGUGGCGAACAGGUGAGUAACACGUGAGUAACCUGCCCUUGACUUCGGGAUAACUUCAGGAAACUGGGGCUAAUACCGGAUAGGAAUCCUUGCUGCAUGGUGGGGGUUGGAAAGCUUCGGCGGUUUUGGAUGGACUCGCGGCUUAUCAGCUUGUUGGUGGGGUAGUGGCUUACCAAGGCUUUGACGGGUAGCCGGCCUGAGAGGGCGACCGGCCACAUUGGGACUGAGAUACGGCCCAGACUCCUACGGGAGGCAGCAGUGGGGAAUAUUGCACAAUGGGCGGAAGCCUGAUGCAGCAACGCCGCGUGCGGGAUGACGGCCUUCGGGUUGUAUACCGCUUCCAGCAGGGGCGAAGCUUGUGGUGACGGUACCUGCAGAAGAAGCACCGGCUAACUACGUG
rnacentral:rRNA from 1 species